GGGUUGUGAGGUUAAGCGACUAAGCGUACACGGUGGAUGCCCUGGCAGUCAGAGGCGAUGAAGGGCGUGCUAAUCUGCGAUAAGCGCCGGUAAGGUGAUAUGAACCGUUAUAACCGGCGAUACCCGAAUGGGGAAACCCAGUGUGACUCGUCACACUAUCAUUAACUGAAUCCAUAGGUUAAUGAGGCGAACCGGGGGAACUGAAACAUCUAAGUACCCCGAGGAAAAGAAAUCAACCGAGAUUCCCCCAGUAGCGGCGAGCGAACGGGGAGGAGCCCAGAGCCUGAAUCAGCAUGUGUGUUAGUGGAAGCGUCUGGAAAGGCGCGCGAUACAGGGUGACAGCCCCGUACACAAAAGCGCAUGUGCUGUGAGCUCGAUGAGUAGGGCGGGACACGUGGUAUCCUGUCUGAAUAUGGGGGGACCAUCCUCCAAGGCUAAAUACUCCUGACUGACCGAUAGUGAACCAGUACCGUGAGGGAAAGGCGAAAAGAACCCCGGCGAGGGGAGUGAAAAAGAACCUGAAACCGUGUACGUACAAGCAGUGGGAGCCCCACCACCAAAGCAUUCUCUGGUGUUGAAGGCCCUGCAAAGCAGCAUCGCGGUGGCGGAGCGUCGUUUGCGACGCCCAACACACAAAACAAGCGGUGAAUGCUUUGGGGUGGGGUGACUGCGUACCUUUUGUAUAAUGGGUCAGCGACUUAUAUUCUGUAGCAAGGUUAACCGAAUAGGGGAGCCGGAGGGAAACCGAGUCUUAAUUGGGCGUUAAGUUGCAGGGUAUAGACCCGAAACCCGGUGAUCUAGCCAUGGGCAGGUUGAAGGUUGGGUAACACUAACUGGAGGACCGAACCGACUAAUGUUGAAAAAUUAGCGGAUGACCUGUGGCUGGGGGUGAAAGGCCAAUCAAACCGGGAGAUAGCUGGUUCUCCCCGAAAGCUAUUUAGGUAGCGCCUCGUGAAUUCAUCUCCGGGGGUAGAGCACUGUUUCGGCUAGGGGGCCAUCCCGGCUUACCAACCCGAUGCAAACUGCGAAUACCGGAGAAUGUUAUCACGGGAGACACACGGCGGGUGCUAACGUCCGUCGUGAAGAGGGAAACAACCCAGACCGCCAGCUAAGGUCCCAAAGUCAUGGUUAAGUGGGAAACGAUGUGGGAAGGCCCAGACAGCCAGGAUGUUGGCUUAGAAGCAGCCAUCAUUUAAAGAAAGCGUAAUAGCUCACUGGUCGAGUCGGCCUGCGCGGAAGAUGUAACGGGGCUAAACCAUGCACCGAAGCUGCGGCAGCGACGCUGAUGCGUUGUUGGGUAGGGGAGCGUUCUGUAAGCCUGCGAAGGUGACCUGUGAGGGUUGCUGGAGGUAUCAGAAGUGCGAAUGCUGACAUAAGUAACGAUAAAGCGGGUGAAAAGCCCGCUCGCCGGAAGACCAAGGGUUCCUGUCCAACGUUAAUCGGGGCAGGGUGAGUCGACCCCUAAGGCGAGGCCGAAAGGCGUAGUCGAUGGGAAACGGGUUAAUAUUCCCGUACUUGGUGUUACUGCGAAGGGGGGACGGAGAAGGCUAUGUUGGCCGGGCGACGGUUGUCCCGGUUUAAGCGUGUAGGUGUGUGUUCCAGGUAAAUCCGGUUCACUUUAACACUGAGGCGUGAUGACGAGGCACUACGGUGCUGAAGCAACAAAUGCCCUGCUUCCAGGAAAAGCCUCUAAGCAUCAGGUAACAUCAAAUCGUACCCCAAACCGACACAGGUGGUCAGGUAGAGAAUACCAAGGCGCUUGAGAGAACUCGGGUGAAGGAACUAGGCAAAAUGGUGCCGUAACUUCGGGAGAAGGCACGCUGACACGUAGGUGAAGUGAUUUACUCACGGAGCUGAAGUCAGUCGAAGAUACCAGCUGGCUGCAACUGUUUAUUAAAAACACAGCACUGUGCAAACACGAAAGUGGACGUAUACGGUGUGACGCCUGCCCGGUGCCGGAAGGUUAAUUGAUGGGGUCAGCGCAAGCGAAGCUCCUGAUCGAAGCCCCGGUAAACGGCGGCCGUAACUAUAACGGUCCUAAGGUAGCGAAAUUCCUUGUCGGGUAAGUUCCGACCUGCACGAAUGGCGUAAUGAUGGCCAGGCUGUCUCCACCCGAGACUCAGUGAAAUUGAACUCGCUGUGAAGAUGCAGUGUACCCGCGGCAAGACGGAAAGACCCCGUGAACCUUUACUAUAGCUUGACACUGAACAUUGAGCCUUGAUGUGUAGGAUAGGUGGGAGGCUUUGAAGUGUGGACGCCAGUCUGCAUGGAGCCGACCUUGAAAUACCACCCUUUAAUGUUUGAUGUUCUAACGUGGACCCGUUACCCGGGUUGCGGACAGUGUCUGGUGGGUAGUUUGACUGGGGCGGUCUCCUCCUAAAGAGUAACGGAGGAGCACGAAGGUUGGCUAAUCCUGGUCGGACAUCAGGAGGUUAGUGCAAUGGCAUAAGCCAGCUUGACUGCGAGCGUGACGGCGCGAGCAGGUGCGAAAGCAGGUCAUAGUGAUCCGGUGGUUCUGAAUGGAAGGGCCAUCGCUCAACGGAUAAAAGGUACUCCGGGGAUAACAGGCUGAUACCGCCCAAGAGUUCAUAUCGACGGCGGUGUUUGGCACCUCGAUGUCGGCUCAUCACAUCCUGGGGCUGAAGUAGGUCCCAAGGGUAUGGCUGUUCGCCAUUUAAAGUGGUACGCGAGCUGGGUUUAGAACGUCGUGAGACAGUUCGGUCCCUAUCUGCCGUGGGCGCUGGAGAACUGAGGGGGGCUGCUCCUAGUACGAGAGGACCGGAGUGGACGCAUCACUGGUGUUCGGGUUGUCAUGCCAAUGGCACUGCCCGGUAGCUAAAUGCGGAAGAGAUAAGUGCUGAAAGCAUCUAAGCACGAAACUUGCCCCGAGAUGAGUUCUCCCUGAGACUUAGAGUCUCCUGAAGGAACGUUGAAGACGACGACGUUGAUAGGCCGGGUGUGUAAGCGCAGCGAUGCGUUGAGCUAACCGGUACUAAUGAACCGUGAGGCUUAACCUUACAACGCCGAAG
rnacentral:rRNA from 2 species